UAGGGAAUAUUGCACAAUGGGGGAAACCCUGAUGCAGCGACGCCGCGUGACGGAAGAAGGCGCUAAGCGUCGUAAACGUCUUUUGCCGGGGAACAAAGGCGCGGACGCGUCCGCGUGUGAGUGUACCCGGAGAAAAAGCAUCGGCUAACUCCGUGCCAGCAGCCGCGGUAAUACGGAGGAUGCGAGCGUUAUCCGGAUUUAUUGGGUUUAAAGGGUGCGUAGGCGGCCUGUUAAGUCAGCGGUAAAAGCCCGGGGCUCAACCCCGGCGAGCCGUUGAAACUGGGGGCUAGAGACGGCGAGAAGUACGCGGAAUGCGCGGUGUAGCGGUGAAAUGCAUAGAUAUCGCGCAGAACUCCGAUUGCGAAGGCAGCGUACCGGCGCCGGACUGACGCUGAGGCACGAAAGCGUGGGUAUCGAACAGGAUUAGAUACC
rnacentral:rRNA from 1 species